AUGUCCGCCAGUCGCAGCUUUGUGCACGCCCGCGUCGAGAAGCAUAUCCGGCGCGCCAACACCGGCGGCAAGUUCCGGCUGGGAGGCACCUCCGCCGUGUACGAGGACCCGCAUGGGCUCUCACUCCGGUGGCUCCGUCUUAGGGAUGUACUGAACGAGGACACCGAUUCCACUGGCCCACCUCACGGUCACGGCAAGGUUGCCAAGCAAGAGAAACAGCCAGCUCAGGCAAGGCAAGCUCUUAUCGCUGUGGGUGGCCGAGGGCCAUGGGACGAGCCCCUCGUGGCCGGCGAGAUAUACAAUCCGAUGACCGACAAAUGGGUCGAGAUCGCCUGGUUCCCCACCGACGUCGGCCUGGCAUGCUCCGACGCCGUCUGCGGCGACACGUUCUACGUCUACUGCGAGUCUGACACGCUCAUCGCCUACCAUCUCGACGCCGGUUCAUGGUUCGUCGUCCAGACGUCCCGGCCGCCGCCACGGCUCCGAGACUACACGCCGGCGCUGGUCUGCUGCGCGUCCAGGCUGUUCAUGCUCUGCGUCUCGUGGUGUGACCCGGCGAAUCGAAGGGACAAGGUGGUGCGGAAGGUGUUCGAGAUGAACCUCGGCUCGACACCGCUGUUCCAGUGGACCGAGGCGUCCGUGCACCCGGACGCACCCAUGGAUUCCAACAGUGUUCGCCGCCGGCCAGGGCAGGAUCAACUUGUAGAGAUGUUCAGAAUCUUCGGCAAGAUCCUCGACUUCGCGACGGCUUGCCGGGUCUUGGGCAGCGAGCAGAGCUGGAGCUGCACCAUGUCCUACUGCUGA
rnacentral:rRNA from 1 species